AUUGAACGCUGGCGGCAUGCUUUACACAUGCAAGUCGAACGGCAGCACGGACUUCGGUCUGGUGGCGAGUGGCGAACGGGUGAGUAAUACAUCGGAACGUACCCAGUAAUGGGGGAUAACUAUCCGAAAGGAUAGCUAAUACCGCAUACGCCCUACGGGGGAAAGAGGGGGAUCGCAAGACCUCUUGUUAUUGGAGCGGCCGCUGGCUGAUUAGCUAGUUGGUAGGGUAAAGGCCUACCAAGGCAACGAUCAGUAGCGGGUCUUAGAGGACGAUCCGCCACACUGGAACUGAGACACGGUCCAGACUCCUACGGGAGGCAGCAGUGGGGAAUCUUGGACAAUGGGCGCAAGCCUGAUCCAGCAAUGCCGCGUGCGUGAAGAAGGCCUUCGGGUUGUAAAGCGCUUUUGUCAGGGAGCAAAUCCUUGUGGCUAAUACCCACCGGGGAUGAGAGUACCUGAAGAAUAAGGACCGGCUAACUACGUGCCAGCAGCCGCCGCAG
rnacentral:rRNA from 1 species